CCCUUAGAUGUUCUGGGCCGCACGCGCGCUACACUGACGAUGUCAGAGAGUGUCUCCUUCACCGAGAGGUGUGGGUAAUCUUUUAAACAUCGUCGUGCUGGGGAUAGAUCAUUGCAAUUUUUGAUCUUAAACGAGGAAUUCCUAGUAAGCGCGAGUCAUCAGCUCGCGCUGAUUACGUCCCUGCCCUUUGUACACACCGCCCGUCGCUACUACCGAUUGAAUGGUUUAGUGAGGCCUUCUGACUGGCGCCGCUACUCCGGCAACAGAGCGGCGGAUGCCGGGAAGUUGGUCAAACUUGAUCAUUUAGAGGAAGUAAAAGUCGUAACA
rnacentral:rRNA from 1 species